AAUAGAUACCCGGGUAGUCCACGCCGUAAACGAUGGAUGCUAGCUAUUGGGGGGAAUCGACCCCCUCCGAAGCGAAGCUAACGCGUUAAGCAUCCCGCCUGAGUAGUACGAGCGCAAGCUUAAAACUCAAAGGAAUUGACGGGGACCCGCACAAGCGGUGGAGCGUGUGGUUUAAUUCGAUGGUAAACGAAGAACCUUACCAAGGUUUGACAUCCCGGUAGCCGUUCUCCGAAAGGAGAAUUUCAUUUAGUUGGACCGGUGACAGGUGAUGCAUGGCCGUCGUCAGCUCGUGUCGUGAGAUGUUGGGUUAAGUCCCGCAACGAGCGCAACCCUUAUGAUUUAGUUGGAUUUUUCUAAACAGACUGCCCUGGUAACAGGGAGGAAGGAGGGGAUGAUGUCAGGUCAGUAUUUCCCUUACACCUUGGGGCGACACACGCGCUACAAUGGCCGGUACAAUGGGCAGCUAAGCCGCGAGGUGGAGCAAAUCCCAUCAAAGCCGGUCCCAGUUCGGAUUGCAGGCUGAAACCCGCCUGCAUGAAGCCGGAAUCGCUAGUAACCG
rnacentral:rRNA from 1 species